rnacentral:rRNA from 1 species
GAUGAACGCUGGCGGCGUGCCUAAUACAUGCAAGUCGAGCGAACAGAUAAGGAGCUUGCUCCUUUGAAGUUAGCGGCGGACGGGUGAGCAACACGUGGGUAACCUACCUAUAAGACUGGGAUAACUUCGGGAAACCGGAGCUAAUACCGGAUAACAUUUAGAACCGCAUGGUUCUAAAGUGAAAGAUGGUUUUGCUAUCACUUAUAGAUGGACCCGCGCCGUAUUAGCUAGUUGGUAAGGUAACGGCUUACCAAGGCGACGAUACGUAGCCGACCUGAGAGGGUGAUCGGCCACACUGGAACUGAGACACGGUCCAGACUCCUACGGGAGGCAGCAGUAGGGAAUCUUCCGCAAUGGGCGAAAGCCUGACGGAGCAACGCCGCGUGAGUGAUGAAGGGUUUCGGCCCGUAAAACUCUGUUAUUAGGGAAGAACAAAUGUGUAAGUAACUGUGCACAUCUUGACGGUACCUAAUCAGAAAGCCACGGCUAACUACGUGCCAGCAGCCGCCGUAAGAC